rnacentral:lncRNA from 1 species
GGGAAACUAAAGGUACACAAGAUACAAAUGUUCUUCCUUUCAAACAAAUGAAAACUGAAGCACGAAACUAAAGCAAACUCGCAAAGGUGCACACUAGCAUUGACUUGUAACAUGAUGUCUCCGGCUAACCUAGGAUCUAAAAGAAAAGAGGUAACCAAAAAGUUGCAUAUAUGACAAGGAAUUAAAAAUAUUGCAUGACAGGGCCUGGACCAUUUUGAAGGGAAAUGCACAGCUGCUCAUUGAUCACUCAAUAAUUUUCUGAAAGACGCCAGCUCCAACAGUCUUUCCUCCUUCCCUGAUGGCAAAUCUCAUCCCUUGCUCACAAGCCACAGGCAUAAUGAGCUCAACAACCAAGUUCACACAAUCACCAGGCAUCACCAUCUUAGAUUUCUCGUUUGUCAGUGGUAAUGGAAGUAACCUUCCCGGUCACAUCAGUUGUCCUCAUAUAAAACUGAGGCCUGUACCCCGAAAAGAACGGGGAAUGCCUGCCACCCUCCUCCUUUUUCAGGACAUACACAAGAGCUUCAAACUUGGUGUGAGGAGUGAUCCAGGUUUUGCCAACACCAUUCCUCUCUGAAUAUCAACCUUCUGAAUACCUCUCAACAAUAACCCCACAUUAUCUCCAGCCAUUGCUUCAUCCAAAAUCUUCUGAAACAUAUCAACCCCAGUCACGGUGGUCGUCCUAGUAUCCCUUAAUCCUACAAUAUCAACGGUAUCUCCAAUCCUAACAGUCCCUCUCUCUACCCUCCCUGUAGCCACUGUACCUCUACCAGCAAUCGAAAACACAUCUUCAAUAGCCAUCAAGAAAGGCAACUCAGUUUGUCUUACUGGAAUAGGAAUAUAACUAUCAACAUUAUCCAUUAACUCAUAAAUCUUAUCAACCCAUUGAUUUUCACCUCUCUUAAUACUAGGAUUCGCCAUUAACGCCUCUAAAGCCAAAAGAGCAGAACCCGAAACAAUCAGAAUGACACGUGGUGUGGCAUAACUCAGGGAUGAAAUACACGUGGUGUGGCAAGGAAACAGAAGAAAAAUGUGGACAUAACAAGAUUUACCAUCACGAAUGACAUCAAACAGAAACUAUUUGAAGAAAUGUUUCUCUAUAAUUCGUGAGUCUCAAUAACAGUUGUGCAUGUUUGACAAAACAAAAUGACAGCAAAGCUGCAGUUGAUAGGGGCCCAUAAGAAAAAGCUCACUUCAACGGCUCGACUUACACCAAUUAAAACAGUAAAUAUCAAACUAUAUUUAACAAAUUACAUGCAAUGAUUUGAUAUUCACCAGAUCUUACAAAUCCAUUAUUUGUCCAGAAAGACAUAACUAAAACUGUCAAAUCCAGAGGCAUCAAACACAGUCAUUCAUUGACUCAGCCUAGUAAAACCUCCAUGCUAGUUACAAUAUCCAGCGACAACAUCUUUGAAGCACAGUUAAAGCAACAAACAUGAAAAUGACAGCCAAUGUGAGCAUCUUUCAAGCAUUAUUACAGGAACCUAUGUAGCUCAGACUCUUCAAAAAUGUCAUCGAGAGUCCGAGCAACUUAGACGGGAACAAGCACGAAGGACGACACAACAGACAAUCUCAUUCUGAGGUUAAUAAGCAAUAGGUAAAUGACAUUAUUUUGUCGGGUAACUUCUCAGUAGGUCAUCUAAAUACAUAAGACCAAUGUUGACAAGUUCUGACAUAGAACCAACUGGCCAUUCACAGAUAGUUCUACUCAGGGAUUAUAGACAACAACUGAGAAUAACAAUUAAGCAUCACUAAACAAAUUCUAAUGAGAUUCUACUACAUACUACUCACACGGUGAUCUCAUGUCCAUCAAUUCUAGUUUCUAAACAGCAUAUUUGGUUUAAAAUAAAAUAUCUCGGUUUUCUUUUUCUUUUCUUUUCUUUUUUGGGUGUUGCCUAACAGCAUCAAUUCGUCAAAACAAACAUCAAACGCACCUAUAACUUCAUUGGCAUGUUAAAGUUGAGUUUCAAACAAAAGUAUGAUUUUUUCCCGAGGGAAACUAAAGGUACACAAGAUACAAAUGUUCUUCUCCCUUUCAAACAAAUGAAAACUGAAGCACGAAACUAAAGCAAUCUCACAAAGGUGCACACUAGCAUUGACUUAUAACAAGAUUUCUCCAACUAACCUAGGAUCUAAAAGAAAAAAGGUAACCAGAAAGUUGCAUAUAUGACAAGGAAUUAAAAAUAUUGCAUGACAGGGGCCGGACCACUUUGAAGGGAAAUGCACAGCUGCUCAUUGAUCACUCAAUAAUUUUCUGAAUGACGCCAGCUCCAACAGUCUUUCCUCCUUCCCUGA